CCCUUAGAUGUUCUGAACCGCACGCGUGUUACACUGAUGCAUUCAACGAGCUUUACCUUGGCCGAGAGGCCUGGGAAAUCUUUUUAGCAUGCAUCGUGAUAGGGAUUGAUUAUUGCAAUUAUUAAUCAUGAACGAGGAAUUCCUAGUAAAUGCAUUUCAUCAAAAUGCAUUGAUUACGUCCCUGCCCUUUGUACACACCGCCCGUCGCACCUACCGAUUGAGUGGUCCGGUGAAGUCUCGAGAUUGUGGCAAUCUCCUUUAUUGGAGUUUGACUGCGAGAACUUGCCUAAACCUUAUCACUUAGAGGAAGGUGAAGUCGUAACA
rnacentral:rRNA from 1 species